GAUGAACGCUGGCGGCGUGCUUAACACAUGCAAGUCGAACGAUGAACCGGGUGCUUGCACUCGGGGAUUAGUGGCGAACGGGUGAGUAACACGUGAGCAACCUGCCCCUGACUCUGGGAUAAGCGCUGGAAACGGCGUCUAAUACUGGAUAUGUCCCGUCACCGCAUGGUGUGCGGGUGGAAAGAUUUUUCGGUUGGGGAUGGGCCCGCGGCCUAUGAGCUUGUUGGUGAGGUAAUGGCUCACCAAGGCGUCGACGGGUGGCCGGCCUGAGAGGGUGACCGGCCACACUGGGACUGAGACACGGCCCAGACUCCUACGGGAGGCAGCAGUGGGGAAUAUUGCACAAUGGGCGGAAGCCUGAUGCAGCAACGCCGCGUGAGGGAUGACGGCCUUCGGGUUGUAAACCUCUUUUAGCAGGGAAGAAGCGAGAGUGACGGUACCUGCAGAAAAAGCACCGGCUAACUACGUGCCAGCAGCCGCAGUAA
rnacentral:rRNA from 1 species